rnacentral:rRNA from 1 species
UACGAAGGGUGCAAGCGUUACUCGGAAUUACUGGGCGUAAAGCGUGCGUAGGCGGUUGUUUAAGUCUGCUGUGAAAUCCCCGGGCUCAACCUGGGAAUGGCAGUGGAUACUGGACAGCUAGAGUGUGUCAGAGGAUGGUGGAAUUCCCGGUGUAGCGGUGAAAUGCGUAGAGAUCGGGAGGAACACCUGUGGCGAAGGCGGCCCCCUGGGCCGGCCCUGACACUGAGACGCGAAGGCGUGGGGAGCGAACGGG